GUACACUCCUGCGGGAGGCAGCAGUGGGGAAUUUUGGACAAUGGGCGAAAGCCUGAUCCAGCAAUGCCGCGUGAGUGAAGAAGGCCUUCGGGUUGUAAAGCUCUUUUGUCAGGGAAGAAACGGUGAAAGCUAAUAUCUUUUGCUAAUGACGGUACCUGAAGAAUAAGCACCGGCUAACUACGUGCCAGCAGCCGCGGUAAUACGUAGGGUGCAAGCGUUAAUCGGAAUUACUGGGCGUAAAGCGUGCGCAGGCGGUUUUGUAAGUCUGAUGUGAAAUCCCCGGGCUCAACCUGGGAAUUGCAUUGGAGACUGCAAGGCUAGAAUCUGGCAGAGGGGGGUAGAAUUCCACGUGUAGCAGUGAAAUGCGUAGAUAUGUGGAGGAACACCGAUGGCGAAGGCAGCCCCCUGGGUCAAGAUUGACGCUCAUGCACGAAAGCGUGGGGAGCAAACAGGAUUAGAAACCCCGGUAGUCCCAUGAU
rnacentral:rRNA from 1 species